rnacentral:rRNA from 1 species
CCUACGGGCGGCAGCAGUGGGGAAUAUUGGACAAUGGGGGGAACCCUGAUCCAGCGACGCCGCGUGAGUGACGAAGUAUUUCGGUAUGUAAAGCUCUUUCAGCAGGGAAGCAAGAACUGACGGUACCUGACUAAGAAGCCCCGGCUAACUACGUGCCAGCAGCCGCGGUAUUACGUCGGGGGCAAGCGUUAUCCGGAUUUACUGGGUGUACAGGGAGCGUAGACGGCGAUGCAAGUCUGAAGUGAAAGGCGGGGGCCCAACCUCCGGACUGCUUUUGAAACUGUAUGGCUGGAGUGCAGGAGAGGUAAGUGGAAUGCGUAGUGUAGCGGUGAAAUGCGUAGAUAUUAGGAGGAACACCAGUGGCGAAGGCGGCUUACUGGACUGUAACUGACGUUGAGGCUCGAAAGCGUGGGGAGCGAACAGGAUUAGAUACCCCUGUAGUC